ACCUACGGGAGGCAGCAGUGGGGAAUAUUGCACAAUGGGGGAAACCCUGAUGCAGCGACGCCGCGUGAAGGAAGAAGUAUUUCGGUAUGUAAAGCUCUGUCCGCAGGGAAGAGAAUGACGGUACCUGACCAAGAAGCCCCGGCUAAAUACGUGCCAGCAGCCGCGGUAAUACGUAUGGGGCAAGCGUUAUCCGGAUUUACUGGGUGUAAAGGGAGCGUAGGCGGCAGGGCAAGCCUGAUGUGAAAGCCCGGGGCUCGACCCCUGGACUGCGUUGGGAACUGCCCCGCCCGAGUGCGGGAGUGGCA
rnacentral:rRNA from 1 species